AUAAGGAGGAUCCGAGCGUUAUCCGGAUUUAUUGGGUUUAAAGGGAGCGUAGGUGGACGUGUAAGUCAGUUGUGAAAGUUUGCGGCUCAACCGUAAAAUUGCAGUUGAUACUGUGUGUCUUGAGUACAGUAGAGGUGGGCGGAAUUCGUGGUGUAGCGGUGAAAUGCUUAGAUAUCACGAAGAACUCCGAUUGCGAAGGCAGCUCACUGGACUGUUACUGACACUGAGGCUCGAAAGUGUGGGUAUCAAACAGGAUUAGAUACCCUGGUAGUCCACACAGUAAACGAUGAAUACUCGCUGUUUGCGAUAUACAGCAAGCGGCCAAGCGAAAGCAUUAAGUAUUCCACCUGGGGAGUACGCCGGCAACGGUGAAACUUAAAGGAAUUGGCGGGG
rnacentral:rRNA from 1 species